CCUACGGGAGGCAGCAGUGAGGAAUAUUGGUCAAUGGGCGCGAGCCUGAACCAGCCAAGUAGCGUGAAGGAUGACUGCCCUACGGGUUGUAAACUUCUUUUAUAAAGGAAUAAAGUGAGGCACGUGUGCCUUUUUGUAUGUACUUUAUGAAUAAGGAUCGGCUAACUCCGUGCCAGCAGCCGCGGUAAUACGGAGGAUACGAGCGUUAUCCGGAUUUAUUGGGUUUAAAGGGUGCGUAGGCUGUGAGGUAAGUAAGCGGUGAAAUGCCCAAGCUCAACGGGGUGAAGUGCCUUUGAUACUGACUGUCUGGAAUGCGGAUGCCGUGGGAGGAAUGUGUGGUGUAGCGGUGAAAUGCAUAGAUAUCACACAGAACACCGAGUGCGAAGGCAUCACACGAAUCCGCGAUUGACGCUGAUGCACGAAAGCGUGGGUAUCGAACAGGAUUAGAUACCCGAGUAGUC
rnacentral:rRNA from 1 species